rnacentral:rRNA from 1 species
GGCGAAAUUGUAGUGCAAGUGAAGAUGCUUGCUACCCGCGAUUGGACGGAAAGACCCCGUAGAGCUUUACUGUAGCUUAGCAUUGAAUCUCGGUAUUGUCUGUACAGGAUAGGUGGGAGACUUGGAAACUUGGGCGUCAGCCUGAGUGGAGUCAUCCUUGGGAUACCACCCUGACAGUACUGGGGUUCUAACCGGCGGCCAUGAAUCUGGUCACGGGACAUUGUUAGGUGGGCAGUUUGACUGGGGCGGUCGCCUCCUAAAAAGUAACGGAGGCGCCCAAAAGUUCCCUCAGCGCGGUCGGAAAUCGCGCGAAGAGUGCAAAGGCAGAAGGGAGCUUGACUGCGACACAUACAGGUGGAGCAG